rnacentral:sRNA from 1 species
AAAAUAAUAAAAUAUUAUUACUUUUUACUUUUUUAGGGAUUUUGAUAGUCCCAACCAUGGUACAUGCUCUAAGAGCAUCCUUAUCAAUGAGUUCUUAAGAACAUGAAAUUUUUUCUUAA